rnacentral:ncRNA from 1 species
UAUUAAACUAUGAUAAAGAGAGUAGAUAUAUAAUUUUUUUAGAGAGAGAAGGUCGGCGGCUGAAAGCCUUCUUAAAAAGUUUAUAUAUUGAAGUUCACUUUAGAGUUCUAAUUGUGAAAUUUUAAGUAGCAGUUAGCGGUUAAAACCGAUAUAUUUACAAAGAGGGUAUUGUUUUUAUAAAUAUAAUGAUAUCAAUUUGGGUGGUAACGCGGAUAAGGUCCGUCCCUUUU